rnacentral:rRNA from 1 species
CCAAAAAGCGGAGGAAAAGAAACCAACAGGGAUUGCCCUAGUAACGGCGAGUGAAGCGGCAACAGCUCAAAUUUGAAAUCUGGCUCUCGGGCCCGAGUUGUAAUUUGUAGAGGAUGCUUUUGAUGCGGUGCCUUCCGAGUUCCCUGGAACGGGACGCCAUAGAGGGUGAGAGCCCCGUCUGGUUGGAUGCCAAAUCUCUGUAAAGCUCCUUCGACGAGUCGAGUAGUUUGGGAAUGCUGCUCUAAAUGGGAGGUAUAUGUCUUCUAAAGCUAAAUACCGGCCAGAGACCGAUAGCGCACAAGUAGAGUGAUCGAAAGAUGAAAAGCACUUUGAAAAGAGAGUUAAAAAGUACGUGAAAUUGUUGAAAGGGAAGCGUUUAUGACCAGACUUGGGCUUGGUUAAUCAUCUGGGGUUCUCCCCAGUGCACUUUUCCAGUCCAGGCCAGCAUCAGUUUUCGCCGGGGGAUAAAGGCUUCGGGAAUGUGGCUCUCUCCGGGGAGUGUUAUAGCCCGUUGCGUAAUACCCUGGCGGGGACUGAGGUUCGCGCAUCUGCAAGGAUGCUGGCGUAAUGGUCAUCAACGACCCGUCUCGAA